rnacentral:rRNA from 1 species
GGGCCCGCACAAGCGGUGGAGCAUGUGGUUUAAUUCGAUGAUACGCGAGGAACCUUACCAGGGCUUAAAUGUUAGGUGACAGAUCUAGAAAUAGAUUUUUCUUCGGACACUUAACAAGGUGCUGCAUGGUUGUCGUCAGCUCGUGCCGUGAGGUGUCAGGUUAAGUCCUAUAACGAGCGCAACCCCUGUUGUUAGUUGCCAGCGAGUAAUGUCGGGAACUCUAGCAAGACUGCCAGUGCAAACUGUGAGGAAGGUGGGGAUGACGUCAAAUCAUCACGGCCCUUACGUCCUGGGCUACACACGUGCUACAAUGGUAGGUACAGAGGGCAGCGAAGUCGCGAGGCCAAGCAAAUCCCUUAAAACCGUUCGUAGUCCGGAUUGGAGUCUGCAACUCGACUCCAUGAAGUCGGAAUCGCUAGUAAUCG